AUUGAACGCUGGCGGCAGGCCUAACACAUGCAAGUCGAGCGGAGCGGCGGACGGGUGAGUAAGGAAUAGGAAUCUGCCUGGUAGUGAGGGAUAACGUCCGGUAACGGAAGCUAAUACCACAUCCUAUCAGCUGAGACUAGGUCGGAUUAGCUAGUUGGUGGGGUAAAGGCCUACCAUGGCGACGAUCCGUAACUGGUCUGAGAGGAUGAUCAGUCACACUGGAACUGAGACACGGUCCAGACUCCUACGGGAGGCAGCAGUGGGGAAUAGUGCGCAAUGGGCGAAAGCCUGAUCCAGCCAUGCCGCGUGAGUGAAGAAGGUCUUCGGAUUGUAAAGCACUUUAAGUAGGGAGGCGUUACCUACAGAAUAAGCCCCGGCUAACUCCGUGCCAGCAGCCGCGGUAAUAC
rnacentral:rRNA from 1 species